ACAUAUUACAUUAUUAUUACUAGACCAUGCCUCCAAGUGUGUCAAAUUAUAAAAAUGUGUUCAGCAUACAUAAAAUAUACAUUAAAGAUUUCUCUCAUCAUAGGCACAAUCUAAUACAAAAAUAUAUUUGACAUUUAUAAGUUAGAAGAUCCAUUGAGAGCCUCCAAAAUAGGACAGGGGAAGGAAUGAGUGAUGACAACAUAAAAAAAGAAGCACACAUAGAUGCAAAUAGUUCCACUUAUAUGAUUAUUUUCUUCAUCAGCAAAGGGUUAAGAGCAGUUUACACCAAACCAAGUUACCAAGCAGAUCACAAUCAGUUCACAGGUUGGAUAAGUCACGGCACGCAGGCCAGAAAAUGUACU
rnacentral:lncRNA from 1 species